rnacentral:lncRNA from 1 species
CACCAGGUGAUGGUGGCACCAGGCAGGGCAAGGACCCAGCCUUCUGGACCCAAACCCACUUCCCACAGCUAGUGAGACUGGACUUCCUCAAGGGCCAUCUGCUCCAGAAGUGGCUCCUCACCGCUUGCUUCCUCUGGCUUCUCAUUUACCUGCCUUCCACUGGCCUGUUCUCCACUGGGGAGACUGCAGCCUGGCCCUCCUUGGGGACAGACACAACAACAGGGAGAGGCAGAAAAUCUCCUUGCAAAGAUGGUUGGCCCUGGUAUUGAACAAUGGUCAGAAGGAAUGGCGUAGAUCCAAUGGCUCCAAAAUCGAAGAGUUGUUUUUAGCCUGCUCCUUUGAACAGGUAACUAACUCAGCACUGCCAAGUGUGGUGGGACACCCACGGGUUUAUAUCUCAGCUGCUCUCUGUGGAAGUCACCCUGGUCAGAGCUUAAUGUUCCAUUUGUCCCUGGCCUGAGAGUUCUAUAGCAGUUUUUGAAAAUCAUCAGGGUUGGCUGAUAUCAUGACAGCAGUGUUUCUCAGCCAUUGUGCCGGAGAGCAGUUCCUUGACAGCAGUUCCUGAAAACGGUAGAUCUUGCAAUCAGGGUGUCGUGGCCAGAGAGUGUGGCGAAGCCAGCAUGUGUGGCUGGGAAGGGGUGCUGGGCAUCACUGGCUUCACUCUGGGCACCGUGGUUUCUCAGCCACUGUGGCCAUGGAGAACUACAGUGUCUCACUGAUGAACACACUGUGAAAUAAAUGUUG